rnacentral:rRNA from 1 species
UACGAAAGGGGCUAGCGUUGCUCGGAAUUACUGGGCGUAAAGCGCACGUAGGCGGCUUCUUAAGUCGGUGGUGAAAUCCUGGAGCUCAACUCCAGAACUGCCUUCGAUACUGGGAAGCUCGAGUCCGGGAGAGGUGAGUGGAACUGCGAGUGUAGAGGUGAAAUUCGUAGAUAUUCGCAAGAACACCAGUGGCGAAGGCGGCUCACUGGCCCGGUACUGACGCUGAGGUGCGAAAGCGUGGGGAGCAAACAGG